rnacentral:rRNA from 1 species
AGAGUGAACGCUGGCGGUAGGCCUAACACAUGCAAGUCGAACGGCAGCACAGUGGUAGCAAUACCAUGGGUGGCGAGUGGCGGACGGGUGAGGAAUACAUCGGAAUCUACCUUUUCGUGGGGGAUAACGUAGGGAAACUUACGCUAAUACCGCAUACGCCCUUCGGGGGAAAGCCGGGGAUCGCAAGACCUGGCGCGGAUAGAUGAGCCGAGUGUCGGAUUAGCUAGUUGGUGAGGUAAUGGCUCACCAAAGGCGACGAUCCGUAGCUGGUCUGAGGAGGAUGAU